GAGCAGUCUGUGAUAGACAUCGAAGUUUACAACAAGUUAAGACGUCGUGAUCACUGGAGAACAUCAGGACCACCAGGACAUCAAGGAACGAGACCACCAAAAUCCAUUCUACUAAUCUCGGUCCAGUCAAGGCAAGAGGCACAUCAAGUUAGUUGGACCACUUGCUAAUGGAUAUCGAAGCCAUCAACCAGUUAGGACUUUAAUGGAGAACUACCAGUUUAUCAAGGGAUAGAUCAAUUCCAAUAAUUUCGAGCCAGUCGAGGAAAGAGGCACAUCAAGGACUUUCUUAGUAGAAUCAUCAUGAUUAAUGAAAAGCAUCAGAACCACUAGGAUAUCAAGGGACAGACUAAAGAAAUUCAUUCCAAUAAUGGCGGCUCAGUCAAAACAGAAGGCACAUCAAGGAAAUUAAGUAGGUCAGUAAUGGACGUCGAAGUCAAGAAGUAGAAUCAUCACGAUCAGUGAAAAGUAUCAGAACCACUAGGAUAUCAAGGACCAGACUAAAGAAAUCCUUUCCAAUAAUGGCGGCUCAGUCAAAAUAGGAGACACAUGAAGGAAAUGUAAUUAACAUUUAUUUACUUUUUAUUUUUUUCAGAAAUGGUCUUUCUUUUCCUUUAUAUUC